GUUUGCAAUGUAAUCAGAGUUAAGGGCACUGGCUUUGUCUGCUCAGAGAUUCUUCAGGCCUGGUGAAGAACCUACUUUAACAACGGUAAGCUGACCCCAACUAGUCUCCACAUGCUAUGGUAAUCUUUUUGUGUAAUCUUCUCCCCUUGAGUGUAUGUGGGAAGGUGGACCUGUGACUUGCUUCUAACAAAGAGUAUAUAUCAAAAUAGGUCUCUCCUGUGCUCACAUUUUAUAAGAUUCCUUGCCAGACUUACUUCAAGUCUCUGCACUGCUGGCCUAAAAAGGUGAGCUGAAAGAUAAUAAACUGCCUAUGGAGAGGACUGCGUGGCAGGGAAACAAGCCACCCUGCCAAUCCCCUGCAGGAGCUGAGGGCAGCUCUUAGCACUACAGUUGCAAAAUAAAUAAGCAGGUAAAUUCUGCCAAUAACUUGUGAGAGCUUGGAAACAGAUUCUUCUCCAGUCAAGCCCCAGAAGACAAUGCAACCCAGCCGACACCUUGAUUGCAGCCUUGUGAAAGACCCUGAAACAACCUCAGUGAGAACCCAGCUAAGUCAUUCCUGGACUUCUGAUCCACAGAAACUGUAAGUCUUUAACACUCUACUCAUGAAGAAGUGAGCUUGUAAACGGUCCAAGGCAUGGGAUUGCAAUUUGCUGGGUUCAAAUGAUGCUGCCCCAUCAUUUUCCAGAUGGGUCUCCACAUUCAUAGAGCAACGGAAUGCUACCACACACACGACAGCCUGCUAGGCAGCCCGAGAAGGUCUAUAAACAGAAAUGUUUGGGAAACAGAUCAAAGUAUUUGUCUCCAAGAGGAAAGAGGAAAUGAAGAGAUGGGCUUAGAGAACAAACACACUGGGCUUGAAUUUCAUCCAGAAAUUUUGCCUUUGUAAAGGAAAAGAAAAAUGUUUCCCAGAAUCAUCUUUAAGAACCACUGAAAAGAUUAUUUGAAAAUUAUUGAAAAUCAAAGCAAAUUUCAGCCCAUCAUUGAAUAAAGAAGUUGCCUCUCUGUGAAUAGAAUAAAUAAAAAUCUCUGUGUUUCAGG
rnacentral:lncRNA from 1 species